GACGAACGCUGGCGGCGUGCUUAACACAUGCAAGUCGAACGGAAAGGCACUGCAUUUGUGGGGUGCUCGAGUGGCGAAGGGGUGAGUAACACGUGAGUAACCUGCCCUUGACUUUGGGAUAACUUCAGGAAACUGGGGCUAAUACCGGAUAGGAGCUCCUGAUGCAUGGAGGGGGGUGGAAAGUUUCGGCGGUUGGGGAUGGACUCGCGGCUUAUGAGCUUGUUGGUGGGGUAGUGGUUUACCAAGGCUUUGACGGGUAGCCGGCCUUGGAGGGGGGCCGGGCUCCUUGGGCCUGAGGUACGGCCCAGACUGCUACGGUAGGCAGCGGUGGGAAACAUUGCCCAGUGGGCCCACGCCGGUUGCAGCAGCGCCGCGUGCGGAAUGCCGUCUUUCGGGGUGUAAACCGCUUUCGCCUGUUACGACGCGUUAGUGACGGUACCGGGUAAAUAAGCACCGGCUAACUUCGUG
rnacentral:rRNA from 1 species